rnacentral:rRNA from 1 species
UUUUUGAUUAUUUAAUAAAAAGUGUUUUCUGCUCAAUGAUUUUUUUAAAUAGCCGCGGUAAUUUGACCGUGCAAAGGUAGCAUAAUCAUUUGCCCUAUAAUUGAGGGCUAGAAUGAAUGGGAUUACAAGAUUUUUGCUUUAUUUUUAAAAAAUAAAUAAUUUUCUUUUUUAGUGAAGAAGCUAUAAUUUUGAUAAGGGACAAGAAGACCCUUUUGAGCUUUAUUAUUUUGAUUUUUUUUAAUAGUUUUGAUAAUUUGGUUGGGGCGACCGAGGAAGAAGAGAUCUUCCUUUUAAUAAUUUUGAUCUGUUGUUUUCGAAUGAAAA